CCCAGGUGAGGACAUGAGGGGAAAUAUUUUAUCUUCUACCUUUAUUCCGUUAUCGGUUAAUGAAAACCCUACACAUUUUAAGCCCCUAACCUCUAAGAUUGCAUAUGUACAGGUGCUAAGUGGAUUCCCACAGACAUUCCACACAGAUACAUCAGAGAAGUGAGAAUUUAUAGGGCUUAAAGCAAAAGGCAGGAGGAAUCUCAGGUUGAGAAACUAUUUUAUCUGCAAAACUUUUCGGGAGACUACUUGGAAAUUGUGGCUUCAUCAAUGCCUGGGGCAAGAAAAGGCCCUCAGACUUUACAGUAGUGACAAAAGCUGUCCAAUGAAGUCAUCUAGUCCACCACUCAGAUACUUACAUUAAAGCCAGUCAGCAAUGGAGCCUCUUCUUGGUUGUAGCUCAAUCUUUCUGGAGCCUUGAAUUCCAAGGAGCCAGCAAAGUCGAUUUCCUCUGAGGCCUCUCUCUUUGGCUUGCAGAUGGCCACCCUCUUGUGCUGCCUCUUCAAGUGGCCUGUCCCCUGUGCAUGCAUCCCUGGUGUCUCUCCGUUGUCUCUUCUUAUUAGGAUAUCAGAGAGAGAGGUUUAGGUCCCACCCUAAUGGCUUUAUUUUAACAUAAUCACAUCUUUAAAGGCCCUAGCUCAAAAUUGGGUAACAUUGUGCAGUAUCAGGGUUUAAGGCUUUAAUAUAUGAAUUUUGAAGGGAAAAAUUCAGCCCAUAACAGGUAUUUAGAUUGACAACAAAAUAUAAAGCUAGAGAAUUACUGAAAUAGAAGAAGUGGGAGUAGAAGGGAGAGUGGAAAAAAUAUAUAUAUGUGUGUUUGUGUGUGUGUGUGUGCGCACUCACAUGUGUGUAUGUGUGUGUAUAUAUAUACAUG
rnacentral:lncRNA from 10 species